rnacentral:misc_RNA from 1 species
UACGGAGGGUGCGAGCGUUAAUCGGAAUUACUGGGCGUAAAGGGUGCGUAGGUGGUAGAGUAAGUUAUCUGUGAAAUUCCUGGGCUUAACCUGGGCUGGUCAGAUAAGACUGCUUUACUCGAGUAUGGGAGAGGGUAGUGGAAUUUCCGGUGUAGCGGUGAAAUGCGUAGAGAUCGGAAGGAACACCAGUGGCGAAGGCGGCUACUUGGCCCAAUUCUGACACUGAGGCACGAAAGCGUGGGGAGCAAACAGG